rnacentral:tRNA from 1 species
GGCCCCUUCGUCUAGCGGUAAGGAUCCCAGGUUUUCAUCCUGGUUACAGGAGUUCGAAUCUCCUAGGGGUCACCA